GGGUGGGUGGUGGCUUAGUGGUUAGCAUGUUUGACUCACACCUCCAGGGUCGAGGGUUUGAUUCCCACCUCCGCCCU